CCCUUUUUUUUGGUCAAAAGAAAGUCCGCAAAAGAAAGGCGAAACAUAUGGCAGACGGUGUGUGUGUGUGUGAAUGUGUGCGUGUGUGUUUCUGAAUGAUAUGUUGCAUUCGCUUAGAUUACGCAUACGCCGCGUUGUCCACUGCGAAGAGAGCGACCCGAAGAGAGCAUGCACUUUCUGCGAUUGAGUGAAAGAGAAAUGUGACUCGAAUGCGAAAAUGAGCACUGCACUUUGGCUCAACUCAGUUUCGCUGCGUUUUUUCGCAAUGCUGCUCUUUUGCGAAGCGCGUGCGGCGCUCUUAGCACACACGCACACACACCGAUGCACGGGGGCAUUCGCAUACAUAGACAAAGGGGAAUCACUCGGCAAAACGAAGCAUCGCUGCCGCUGCGCUGCCGCCGCGCUGCCGACGCCAAUGCUCUUUGGUUGCUUUUUUUUGGGCUUUUGGCCAGGCUUUUUGGUUUCCAGCUCUGUCGGCUUUGGACUUUCGCAGAGAUUUCACACGCGAUGCGAUUGCAGUUCUUGCAGACACUUUCAUACGCAUAAACUCAAA